rnacentral:rRNA from 1 species
UGGCUCAGAACGAACGCUGGCGGCGUGCUUAACACAUGCAAGUCGAGCGGAAAGGCCCUUCGGGGUACUCGAGCGGCGAACGGGUGAGUAACACGUGAGUAACCUGUCCUUGGCUUUGGGAUAACCCUCGGAAACGGGGGCUAAUACCGGAUAUGACCUUUGCCUGCAUGGGUGGGGGUGGAAAGGAUUCCGGCUAAGGAUGGGCUCGCGGCCUAUCAGCUUGUUGGUGAGGUAACGGCUCACCAAGGCGAGGACGGGUAGCCGGCCUGAGAGGGCGACCGGCCACACUGGGACUGAGACACGGCCCAGAGACCUACGGGAGGCAGCAGUGG